rfam:Stegodyphus mimosarum contig86009, whole genome shotgun sequence.
GCCUUCGUGGUGUAGUGGUCAGCAUUCUCGACGCGUAUUCGAGAGGUCCGUGGUUCGAGUCCCGGCGAGGGCA